rnacentral:rRNA from 1 species
UACGGAGGGUGCAAGCGUUAUCCGGAUUCACUGGGUUUAAAGGGUGCGUAGGUGGGUCUGUAAGUCCGUGGUGAAAUCUCCGAGCUUAACUUGGAAACUGCCAUGGAUACUAUAGGUCUUGAAUACUGUGGAGGUUAGCGGAAUAUGUCAUGUAGCGGUGAAAUGCUUAGAUAUGACAUAGAACACCAAUUGCGAAGGCAGCUGGCUACACGAAUAUUGACACUGAUGCACGAAAGCGUGGGGAUCAAACAGG